GACGAACGCUGGCGGCGUGCUUAACACAUGCAAGUCGAACGGAAAGGCCCUGCUUUUGUGGGGUGCUCGAGUGGCGAACGGGUGAGUAACACGGGAGUAACCUGCCCUUGACUUUGGGAUAACUUCAGGAAACUGGGGCUAAUACCGGAUAGGAGCUCCUGCUGCAUGGGGGGGGUUGGAAAGUUUCGGCGGUUGGGGAUGGACUCGUGGGUUAUCAGCUUGUUGGUGGGGUAGUGGCUUACCAAGGCUUCGGCGGGUAGCCGGCCUGAGAGGGUGACCGGCGACCUUGGGACUGAGGUACGGCCCAGACUGCUACGGGAGGCAGCAGUGGGGAAUCUUGCACAAUGGGCGGAAGCCUGAUGCAGAAAGUCCGCGUGCGGGAUGACGGCUUUCGGGUUGUAAACCGCUUUCGCCUGUGACGAAGCGUGAGUGACGGUAAUGGGUAAAGAAGCACCGGCUAACUACGUG
rnacentral:rRNA from 1 species